CAGAGGGUGCGAGCGUUGUUCGGAAUUACUGGGCGUAAAGACGCGCGCAGGCGGCCCUUUAAGUCUGUCGGUCAAAUGCCGGGGCUCAACCCCGGGCGUGCCGAGGAUACUGGAGGGCUGGAGACACGUAGAGGCAAGCGGAAUUCCGGGUGUAGCGGUGGAAUGCGUAGAGAUCCGGAAGAACACCGGAGGCGAAGGCGGCUUGCUGGGCGUGAUCUGACGCUGAGGCGCGAAAGCGUGGGGAGCGAACAGGAUUAGAUAACCCUGGUAGUCCACGCCGUAAACGAUGGGCACUAGACGCUGGGUGGGAUCGACCCCUUCGGUGUCGCAGCUAACGCGAUAAGUGCCCCGCCUGGGGAGUACGGCCGCAAGGCUG
rnacentral:rRNA from 1 species